rnacentral:rRNA from 1 species
GAUGAACGCUGGCGGCGUGCCUAAUACAUGCAAGUCGAGCGAACAGAUGAGGAGCUUGCUCCUCUGACGUUAGCGGCGGACGGGUGAGUAACACGUGGAUAACCUACCUAUAAGACUGGGAUAACUUCGGGAAACCGGAGCUAAUACCGGAUAAUAUAUUGAACCGCAUGGUUCAAUAGUGAAAGACGGUUUUGCUGUCACUUAUAGCUGGCUCCGCGCCGCAUUAGUUAGUUGGUAAGGUAACGGCUUAGCAAGGCAACGAUGCGUAACCGACCUGAGAGGGUGAUCGGCCACCCUGGAAGUGAGCAAGGUCCCCGACUCCGACGGGAGGCAGCAGUAGGGAAUCUUCCGCAAUGGGCGAAAGCCUGACGGAGCAACGCCGCGUGAGUGAUGAAGGUCUUCGGAUCGUAAAACUCUGUUAUUAGGGAAGAACAAAUGUGUAAGUAACUAUGCACGUCUUGACGGUACCUAGUCAGAAAGCCACGGCUAACUACGUG